AACGAACGCUGGCGGCAGGCUUAACACAUGCAAGUCGAGCGCCCCGCAAGGGGAGCGGCAGACGGGUGAGUAACGCGUGGGAAUCUACCCAUCUCUACGGAAUAACGCAUGGAAACGUGUGCUAAUACCGUAUACGUCCUUCGGGAGAAAGAUUUAUCGGAGAUGGAUGAGCCCGCGUUGGAUUAGCUAGUUGGUGGGGUAAAGGCCUACCAAGGCGACGCUCCAUAGCUGGUCUGAGGGGAUGAUCAGCCACACUGGGACUGAGACACGGCCCAGACUCCUACGGGAGGCAGCAGUGGGGAAUAUUGGACAUUGGGCGCAAGCCUGAUCCAGCCAUGCCGCGUGAGUGAUGAAGGCCCUAGGGUUGUAAAGCUCUUUCACCGGUGAAGAUAAUGACGGUAACCGGAGAAGAAGCCCCGGCUAACUUCGUGCCAGCCGCCGCCGUAAGAC
rnacentral:rRNA from 1 species